rnacentral:rRNA from 1 species
GAUGCAGCGAUGCCGCGUGAGUGAAGAAGGCCCUUGGGUUGUAAAGCUCUUUCGUCGGGGAAGAAAAUGACUGUACCCGAAUAAGAAGGUCCGGCUAACUUCGUGCCAGCAGCCGCGGUAAU